rnacentral:tRNA from 1 species
ACUAGUUUGGCAGAGUAGUGUUUUGAAGUUAGAUUUCAAGAAUGUAGCAUUUUUGUUACAAUUAGUA